rnacentral:rRNA from 1 species
GCAACGCGAAGAACCUUACCAGGCCUGACAUGCAGAGAACUUCCAGAGAUGGAUUGGUGCCUUCGGGAACUCUGACACAGGUGCUGCAUGGCUGUCGUCAGCUCGUGUCGUGAGAUGUUGGGUUAAGUCCCGUAACGAGCGCAACCCUUGUCCUUAGUUACCAGCACGUUAUGGUGGGCACUCUAAGGAGACUGCCGGUGACAAACCGGAGGAAGGUGAGGAUGACGUCAAGUCAUCAUGGCCCUUACGGCCUGGGCUACACACGUGCUACAAUGGUCGGUACAAAGGGUUGCCAAGCCGCGAGGUGGAGCUAAUCCCAUAAAACCGAUCGUAGUCCGGAUCGCAGUCUGCAACUCGACUGCGUGAAGUCGGAAUCGCUAGUAAUCGUGAAUCAGAAUGUCACGGUGAAUACGUUCCCGGGCCUU